UUUUGCGGAGAGUUUGAUCCUGGCUCAGGAUGAACGCUGGCGGCGUGCCUAAUACAUGCAAGUCGAACGGCCAAUUCUUUGGGAUUGGUAGUGGCGAACGGGUGAGU
rnacentral:rRNA from 1 species